UACGUAGGGUGCGAGCGUUGUCCGGAAUUAUUGGGCGUAAAGAGCUUGUAGGCGGUCUGUCGCGUCUGCUGUGAAAAUCCGGGGCUCAACCCCGGACUUGCAGUGGGUACGGGCAGACUAGAGUGUGGUAGGGGAGACUGGAAUUCCUGGUGUAGCGGUGAAAUGCGCAGAUAUCGGGAAGAACACCCGUGGCGAAGGCG
rnacentral:rRNA from 1 species